GACGAACGCUGGCGGCGCGCUUAACACAUGCAAGUCGAGCGAGAACCAGGGCUUCGGUCCUGGGGACAGCGGCGAACGGGUGAGUAACACGUGGAUAACCUGCCCUCGGCACCGGGAUAGCCCGGGGAAACCCGGAUUAAUACCGGAUGGCCCUUCCGGCUCACGAGCCGGUCGGAAAAGGUAGCUUCGGCCUCCGGCCGAGGAUGGGUCCGCGGCGGAUUAGCUUGUUGGUGGGGUAACGGCCUACCAAGGCUCCGAUCCGUAGCUGGUCUGAGAGGACGAUCAGCCACACUGGGACUGGGACACGGCCCAGACUCCUACGGGAGGCAGCAGUGGGAAUCUUGCGCAAUGGGCGAAAGCCUGACGCAGCGACGCCGCGUGAGGGAGGAAGGCCUUCGGGUUGUAAACCUCUUUCAGGAGGGACGAAGCCACUCGGGUGAAUAGCCCAGAGGGUGACGGUACCUCCAGAAGAAGCCCCGGCUAACUACGUGCCAGCCGCCGCCGUAACAC
rnacentral:rRNA from 1 species